rnacentral:rRNA from 1 species
GAUGAACGCUGGCGGCGUGCCUAAUACAUGCAAGUCGAGCGAACAGACGAGGAGCUUGCUCCUCUGACGUUAGCGGCGGACGGGUGAGUAACACGUGGAUAACCUACCUAUAAGACUGGGAUAACUUCGGGAAACCGGAGCUAAUACCGGAUAAUAUAUUGAACCGCAUGGUUCAAUAGUGAAAGACGGUUUUGCUGUCACUUAUAGAUGGAUCCGCGCCGCAUUAGCUAGUUGGUAAGGUAACGGCUUACCAAGGCAACGAUGCGUAGCGGACCUGAGAGGGUGAGCGGCCACACUGGAACUGAGACACGGUCCAGACUCCUACGGGAGGCAGCAGUAGGGAAUCUUCCGCAAUGGGCGGAAGCCUGACGGAGCAACGCCGCGUGAGUGAUGAAGGUCUUCGGAUCGUAAAACUCUGUUAUUAGGGAAGAACAAAUGUGUAAGUAACUAUGCACGUCUUGACGGUACCUAAUCAGAAAGCCCCGGCUAACUACGUG